UUAAGUCAAUGCAGUUAAACAUUUGAUUUUUUCCUGCACUAAAAAUGAGCUUGGAAGACUCUCCAACAAAUUAUAGAGAAGAACCAACCAAGGCAUGCAGAAACGCUCGCACAAGCAGGACGUUCGUCCAAGAUUCAGGACGCUCGUCGCCAGAAAAGGACGCUCGUCCAAAGUGGAAGCACGAGCGGACGCUCGUCCAGAAGGAAGAAAUGGGCGCUCGUUCAAGCCAAGCAGAUGAGGACGUUCGUCCAGGAAGCACAAGCGGACGCUCGUCCUGGAAGCAGAAGAGGACGUUCGUCCAGGACGCUUAGAGAGGACGCUCGUCCAGGACGUUUAGAGGGGACGCUCGUCCAGAAAAGAGAAAAGAGGACGCUCGUCCAGGAGCUCAUAGAGGACGUUCGUCCAGAGAGUUAAGAGGACGCUCGUCCAACGAAGACGUCCAGCGAGACACGCAGUGGACGCUCGUCCAGAAGGCAGAAGAGCGGACGCUCGUUCAGCCAGGCAGAAGUGGACGCUCGUCCAGCCAGGCAGAAGAGGACGGUCGUCCUAAGAUGCGCAGUGGACGUUCGUCCAGCGAAGAGAGCAGUGGACGUUCGUCCAGCGAGAGAAGAGGCGCUCGGUGAACGCUCGGCAGCGAGAAGUGACGCUCGUCAAGGACGGUCGUCUACUUUCAGGACGCUCGUCCACUUCAGUGGACGUUCGUCCACUUUCAGCUUCCAGAGAGUUUCACGCCCGGGCGUGAGAAAUGGGGCGCCCGGGCGUGACUUUCCAGUGGUUAUUUAUGAAAGAGGUUUUGUACACAAAUAGAAGUGGUUUAAUUCAAUAUAAAUCAUGACAUUUCUUAAGUGCAGUAAGUAGUUAUCUACUAAGUCUUAUAUGGUUAUUUCAGAAAGAGAUUCUGUACAACAAUAAAAGUUGUUUAAUACAAUAUCAAUAAUUAUUUUUCUUA